GAGUCUUCGGAGGGGUUCUUAUCUUGAUAUAAACUAGCUCUGAAAACUUGGGCAAGUCUCUUACUGACUUUGAUAAUAAAACCUAUUUUAAAGAGUUGCUGUUAAGCUCAGAAUGAGAUGGGGUCUGCGGACAGCCGUAGAGAGAUGGAAGGGGUUAUUUUUGCUGCGUGGGCAGCAGCUGGGAAGGAACGCUGGGGUAACCCAGACACGGUGUAGGACACAACUUCUCAAAAGUAAACGCGUUUGAAUCACCGGGGAAUCUCACUAAAAGUCAGGAUCUGGCCUGGAGCCCAGCGGCAGGGCCUGCGAUUCCUGCUUUUUAACAAGCUUCCAGGUGAGGCUGAAGCAGCUGAAGUUGGUAAGACUUUAAGUAACAAGCAUCCGGGAAAAGAGACCCCGCGGGUGCAGGGGUCAGGCCCGCCUGAAUCCCAGCCCCUCCUCCACCACCCCCAGCUGUGGGCCUCAGGCAGGGCCAAGGGCCCUUUACAGAUGAGCAGAUAUUACCAGCUUUGCACCCAGACCUCCAACAACCAGGAUUCACCUCCUUCCUCCUUGUGGGACGGAAGACAGGACACACCCAGUACAGAGAGGGUCCCGGCAGAGUGGGGUAGAAUUUUGCAAAGCAUCUGCCCAAUCAGGACUCCAUUGAACAGCCCCUCGUGGCAUCCUGGUGGGACCAUAUGACUAGUUCUUGUCAAAGAAAUAUGAGCAAAAAUGAUGUGUGGACUCCAAGCCAAGAAUGCCAUGCACCUCUUGCAAAGAAUGAAUGUUUACGUGCUGAGAUGGAGAGAAGCCCUCAAUAAAAGGACAUUGAAGAUACAUAGGUACUGAGUAUACGCAAGUCUGACC